AGGACGAACGCUGGCGGCGUGCUUAACACAUGCAAGUCGAGCGGAAAGGCCCUUCGGGGUACUCGAGCGGCGAACGGGUGAGUAACACGUGAGUAACCUGCCCCUAGCUCUGGGAUAGCUCCGGGAAACCGGGAUUAAUACCAGAUACGACCACUUUAGACAUCUGUCGUGGUGGAAAGGAUUCCGGCUAGGGAUGGGCUCGCGGCCCAUCAGCUUGUUGGUGGGUAACGGCCUACCAGGCGACGACGGGUA
rnacentral:rRNA from 1 species